GAGGAACUAAUAUUCAAUAUUGCAUCGUUUCCGGCACAUUCCGAUCGGCAUUUGUAUCGCCAUAUUUGUUAUGUCAAUGUCGUAGAUACAUUUUCCUGUGAUAAUAUUUGUAAUAAAACAUUAAACUGCAAGAAACAUUGUCAGAAGGUCUGUCAUCCGGGAUCCUGCGAGCUCUGUUCUGUGACGUCUGAAAGAGUCAAUGCGGUCAAAAACCAUUAACGGAAUAAAGAGAGAGUUGUAUGAAUCCUGUGCCGAUCUGCACAAAGCGCUUGAAAUGUGGCCAGCCUAAUAAUCCGCACAUCUACAAGGCUCCAUGUCACGUGAGGGAAUGUCCGGGAUGUGACUUGAACACUGAUGUCAAGUGUUGUUGUGAUAACAUGGACCGCAAGAUGGCUUGCAAGGACUUGACAAGACCGAUGAUACGUGCUCUGAGAAGCACUGCAAGAAGAAGAGAACCUGCGAUAAAUACAAUUGCAAUCAGCUGUGUAUCGACAUCGAACACAUCUGUCCAUUACUGUAUUCAGAGACUUUAAGCUGUGGUCGGCACAAGUUUCAGAAAAGAUGUCACAUGGGAAGAUGUUCGUCUUGCUUAGAGAGCAGCGUUGAAGAAUUGUAGUGUGAAUGCGGCGUCGAGGCGAUUUAUCUGCCGAUAUUAUAUGAUGUGAGAAGACCCAUUUGCAAUUGAUCGUGUUCGUGCGAACACCUUUGUGACCACGAAGUACACAACUGCCAUAGCGAGCCCACAUGUUCACUUUGCAGCGUCUUGACUCAUAGAUAGUGCAUGAUGGCAGACAUGACAAGACAAAGUUGCAUUUAUAAUGCAUAUUAUGUUAUUUAAAAAAUAAAAUGUGAAUUUGUGAAAAAAAGGAAACAUUAAAGUUA